CAUUGUUCGGAAACCUCUAGAACAUAGGAACGACGUCGAUGGAGGCGCCACCGGCGAUGGCAUCGGAGGGGGGACAGCGCGGCGCGGGGGGCAGCCACGUACGAGGAUCGCGGGCCGCUCACACACCUUACCGAUCAGCUGUGAAAAUUGUACGCGUCGCGCGCCGUUUAAUUAUAUAAUUUGUUACAAAUCAUCCGUUGGAAUAAACCAGUACCUAUAUUUCGGAAACAGCCUCAGUCAUUUCUACAGCCCAAGAAUUCUCCCUAACAAAGUGGUCCUUCGCAAGAAAGAAAAAACAACGGAGGCAGGCGUGCAGUGACGCGUGCGUGGCGAUUUUGCAGCGCAGGAAAAAACCAACGUGGCGCACACGUCUCCAAGAAAUAUAUCGACGAGAACGGAUAACUGUGGCUACGGAUCGCAGAGAACCAGAUGGCAUGCGUCCACAGGCGAAAUUAAGCUGAAUCAGUUAGUUCUGAUCAGAGAGAAAACGCAACCACCACUACAUUGGCUAUUAGGCCGUAUCGUCAAGGUGUUUCCUGGUGCUGACGGCAUCACGAGGGUGGCGGAAAUCAAAACCAAGAAGGGCAACAUCACAAGGGCCUUCAACAACAUAUGUCCUUUACCUAUUGAAGACGAUGUUUCAACCCGGGCAGGAUGUUCGGAAACCUCUAGAACAUAGGAACGACGUCGAUGGAGGCGCCACCGGCGAUGGCAUCGGAGGGGGGACAGCGCGGCGCGGGGGGCAGCCACGUACGAGGAUCGCGGGCCGCUCACACACCUUACCGAUCAGCUGUGAAAAUUGUACGCGUCGCGCGCCGUUUAAUUAUAUAAUUUGUUACAAAUCAUCCGUUGGAAUAAACCAGUACCUAUAUUUCGGAAA